rnacentral:misc_RNA from 1 species
GAUGAAGAACGCAGCGAAAUGCGAUAAGUAAUGUGAAUUGCAGAAUUCAGUGAAUCAUCGAAUCUUUGAACGCACCUUGCACCCUUUGGACUGCUCCAAAGGGUAUGCUCGUUUGAGUGUCAUUGUACUCUCACACUCUCUGAUCCUUUGGAUUUGGGGAGCAGUGGACUUGGGUGCUUGCUGCUUCCUUGUGGCUCACCUGAAAUGCAUCAGUGCAUCUCUCGAUUGGACAUAGUACGGCGUGAUAAGUGUCUUCGCCGGCACCUCGUAUGAGGGUGGCCGAUCGGGAGCUCUGUGCUUUCAAACCGUCUUCGGACAACGCUGACAACUUGACCUCAAAUCGAGUAGGACUACCCGCUGAACUUAAGCAUAUCAAUAAGCGGAGGA